rnacentral:lncRNA from 1 species
AUCAUGCAACGCAGAAGGUAAUGUUUUCUUAUAAUACUUUAGUCGAUUACUACAAUUUAAUUACAUUUUUACCUUCAAUUGAAAGCAACUGUAAUCUUUAACAUCAUAAUUUUAUAUUUCAGACUGUACCACCUUCGGCAAGUGCUGCAGUUGCCCAACCAUCAAGAAACGAGCAGACUUUGGCAGUGGACAAAGAUAUUACUCCAUGCAGUUCCACAGAAACAAAUGUAGUGUUUAUAUUGUACAUUAUUUUGAAUGAAUCACCUGGAAGAUGUCAUCUAGCACUGUUUUCUGUAUCUGCAGAAGUAUAUCAAACAAGACAACAUGCAGUGUUGGAUGUGACACAUACAAGAUGAAGAUGUGAAAAGUAACUUUUUACAUUAUGUGAUGCCGAAUUACAUCAAAAAGUGUUCCAGCAUAGCUGAGAUACAGCCAUGGACCAAGGAAUCUGCCUUGGGGCACACUGUAUUCAAGAUAGUGGUCUGAUAAAUAUCGUUGUUGAUAUUAAUUUUACAAGUACGAGGCCUUAAGUAGGAGUCUACUCAUUAAAGAGCUGUUUCACAGACACUUUACUGUGCUUUUAGGACAUCUAGCAGAAUGUUGUGGUCGACAGUGUCAAAUGCUUAAGUCAGUUGCAAUAAGGACCGUGACUUCUGUUUCUCCAUACCACAUAGAAGAUCAUUAACCAAAUCGAUGCAGCGCAGAUUCACAGGAGUGAUAUUUCCAAUAUGCAGACUGGUUCUUAGGCAAAGGACU